CCUACGGGUGGCAGCAGUGAGGAAUAUUGGUCAAUGGGCGGGAGCCUGAACCAGCCAAGUCGCGUGAGGGAUGACGGCCCUAUGGGUUGUAAACCUCUUUUGCAGGGGAGAAAAGUGCCGCACGUGUGCGGUUUGGAGAGUACCUGAAGAAAAAGCAUCGGAAAACUCCGUGCCAGCCGCCGCGGUACUACGGGGGAGGCGAGCGUUAUUCGGAUUGAUUGGGUUAAAAGGGUGCGUAGGCGGAAGGCCAAGUCAGCGGUAAAAUCGCGGGGCGAAACCUCGCUCCGGCGUUGAAACUGGCGUUCUUGAGUGGGCGAGAGGUAUGCGGAAUGCGUGGUGUAGCGGUGAAAUGCAUAGAUAUCACGCAGAACUCCGAUUGCGAAGGCAGCAUACCGGCGCCCAACUGACGCUGAAGCACGAAAGCGUGGGUAUCGAACAGGAUUAGAUACCCGGGUAGUC
rnacentral:rRNA from 1 species